UUCCAGGGAAACUGGUUCAUUUUUCUGAGUGCUAUCUGGGGCCAGUUGCUGGGUGUCCUCAGAGACAGAGUAUGUCCAUUGCCUACUCUUCAAAGUAUUAGCAUAGUGUGUGGUGCAGGGAAUGUCGGGGGUGGGGGAGGUUUGUAUCUCCCCUGAUAGCCAGAUGCAAGAGGAACAAGAAACAUCUACUUCUAAAUUUGAAAGAAGGAGGUUCAGAUGUGUUGCUUGUCAGAUGCAGGAAGACCCUUUCUACCUCAGACUGAUGCCCCGAUGUUGAGCUGCCCCAGGAAAAGGGCGGUGGUUGAGAUGCUGAAGGGUAAAAGGAGGAGAAGGAUAAAGAGACUGCAUGAAGUUGCAUUGUGGUAGGCCUAACAGUCAUAUCCACACAUCCGAAGGAUUAUGAUAAAGAAGAGCAGGAAUCGAGUUAUUUUAUUUUCCUCCAAAGAACAGGACUGUGAAAGUAGCAAGGGACAGAUAUUGGCACAGUAUGAGAAACUAUCCUAUCAGGAGAAUUGCCAAGGAUCCAGUAGGCUUCUUGAAGUAGCAAACUUUUGUCUCCAUGUGUGUUUAAGCAGAGAUAGGACACGUGCCUGCAGGUUGGAGUUGGGGAAAGAAGCCUCAAGGAGUCUAAGCAUUCUGCCUUUUUGUCUUGUUUCUUUAUAUUUCUUUUCUGUGCAUUGGGAAUAAUUGCUUUCAUCUACUUGGUAGGAGCUAGGAAGGAGUCAGGGAAAGCUUUCUGCAUGCUUUGAGCUUUGAUGGUUAAAAUUGCGUUGCAAACUAGAUUGCUUCAACUUGGGGGUGCUCUUCUGGGGCUUCUUGUUGCCAAUUUUAGCAAAUAUUAUUUCUGAAUCAUGUGUGCUCUCCUAACAUCUGUCCUCUAAGGACACUGCUUUUCAGUUAUCUCUGAAGGUGGCCUAAGGGGACACUUUCUUUACUUUUUAAGUGUCUGUGCCACCUUUUUCUUGGGUGCCCCUUUCCUGUUUCCUGGGGACGCUGAGAAUGUGUCGUACAAGUACGAAGAAAUGAAGCAGAGUCAGCUUAGAAAUAAACAUUCAUUCCCUGUCAGGGAAAAAAGCAUUUGUCUAGUCUGUCUAGAUUUUAAGGUGUGAUCCUUAGUGGCAUCCUGCCACUCUCUGUGUGCUGAUGUGGAAUGAACCGUGCCCCCUGCCCUGCGGCACAUGCUGUUCUUCCUGGAAGGCUGAGCACAGGCAGAGAUUGUGGUGGCUACUUGCAUACCAAGGACCAGGACACGCCUCUUCUCAAACAUUGCCUGCUCUCCUCUGGAGUUCAGGGAUUUUUGAGAAUGCCCUGGAAAUUUGCAAGAACAGUGAUCUGCUGACAUCAGCCUGUGGCAUUGUCAGCUGACAACUUUCCAAAGAAGAUACAAAGUAAUCAGUGUAAACUUUGUGGAAGUUUGGUUGAUAAAAACCAAGAGCAACAUUUAAUCUAUAUUCAGCUGGUUUGGAAUGUUGACAACAUAAGUUAAAUAUAAAUUAUUACCAAACAUAAGCCACUUUGGGGGAUUUUGCUUAUUUUCACUAUCAAAUAACGGCAAUCAGUUUAGUUUUGCUGGUCAGUGACUAACCCUAAACCUCUCAACCUAGCUGGCACUAGGAUGUCAAGAGCUAGGUGGCACUAUGGUGU